rnacentral:lncRNA from 1 species
AGUAGAGUCUUCCUUCUACAAGAUACCAUGAAGGACCAAAGAAAAGUAAAAUUUUCAUCUUCAAAAUGAGCUUUCAUCAAAGAAAAAGGAAGAAAGAUGGCUCUAAGGAAGAAAUUAAUGGUGGCAAUGUGUGAAGAGGGGUACAAAGAACAGUGGCACGGGUAUGAUACAAAGAACAGUGGCACGGUGAAUUUAUGAAAAUAACAACACCAGUGCAUCACCAUUGUAGAAAAUGAGAAGAAGACUAACGAGUGCAAAGGAGAAAAGAACACUCAUAGAUAAUCCCACUAUAUACAUAUAAUCACCAUUAAUAUUUCAUUCAGCAAUUCCUGGGAAUGCCUACUGCAUACAGUCUACUCUGCUGGCAGUAUAAAUACAGAAGUGACUAAUACAUACUAUCUGUUCUCAAAGUAGGGCAGAAAAAAGGGAUUUUGCCAGCCUUAUGUAAUGUACAGAUUCAGAAUUCAUCUUAUAUUCUUCAUGCUGUUUUAAGUCUUUUGUAUAAAGCUUAAUAUUAACAUUGUAUGAUAGGAGAGCCCUUCUGCCUGGUCUUUUGCUCUUAGGAAAGUGAAAGCAUAUUACCUAACCAGGGCACCUCAGGAGGUGGGUGGUC